rfam:Myotis brandtii contig289538, whole genome shotgun sequence.
CAGUGCUUGCAGCUCUUUUCGAAUUUGUCCAGCAAGUCUUCCGGCUUUUACUGGACGGCUCUA